GUUGGAUAAGGUGGCCGGCUAAUAUCCAAGCACAUUUUUGAGGCUAUCGUCUAUUUGGUAAUUGCGAUUCUUUUCAAAAAAAUUGUGCUUGUUUUCAACUUAAUUGUCAAAAAUUUUGAAAAUUUUGAGUUAAGAUCAACGGUUCAUUCAUUAGUAAUUGAGGUUUAAAUCUGUUAUAGGAAUUACUAAGAUUUGAUUUAGGAUUUAGGAUUUGGUUUAGGAUUUGGUUAGGGUUUGAUUUAAGAUUUGGUUAGGAUUUGAUUUAGGAUUUAGGAUUUGUUUAGAGUUUAAGAUUUAGUUAGUUUUUGGCAUAAAAUUUGAGUGAAGUCCAAUAGGAUUUUAACUCGGAUUAAAUUAAGAUUGAAUUGAGAUGUAUUUGAGAUAUAUUUGUCAUCAUUCUAAUAUUUCUUUAAGAUUUCUUAUUAUUUUUUUGUAAUUCCUUUGAGUUUUCUUUGAAUUUGAUUAAAGCUUUCUUAGCAUU
rnacentral:lncRNA from 1 species